AGUCCUGUGGUGUAUCACAUAUUGAAUUGCAAAUUCAAAGAAGCAGAUUUAAUUCUGCUGGGGCUU
rnacentral:tRNA from 1 species